AAUAACUUAACGAAUCGCAUGGCCUUGCGCCGGCGAUGGUUCAUUCAAAUUUCUGCCCUAUCAACUUUCGAUUGUAAGAUAGAGGCUUACAAUGGUAUUAACGGGUAACGGGGAAUUAGGGUUCUAUUCCGGAGAGGGAGCCUGAGAAACGGCUACCACAUCCAAGGAAGGCAGCAGGCGCGCAAAUUACCCGAUGCUAAUUCAGCGAGGUAGUGACAAUAAAUACUGAUACGGGGCUCUUUCGGGUCUCGUAAUUGGAAUGAGUACAAUCUAAAUCCCUUAACGAGGAACAAUUGGAGGGCAAGUCUGGUGCCAGCAGCCGCGGUAAUUCCAGCUCCAAUAGCGUAUAUUAAAGUUGUUGCCGUUAAAAAGCUCGUAGUUGAACCUUGGACCUGGCUGAUCUGUCCUCCUAAUCGAGCGCACGGAUUCGGUCGGGUCUUUUCCUUCUGGGGAGCCCUAUGCCCUUCACUGGGUGUAGUGGGGAACCAGGACUUUUACCUUGAAAAAAUUAGAGUGUUCAAAGCAGGCCUUUGCUCGAAUACAUUAGCAUGGAAUAAUAGAAUAGGACAUCGGUUCUAUUUUGUUGGUUUCUAGGACCGCUGUAAUGAUUAAUAGGGAUAGUCGGGGGCGUCAGUAUUCAAUUGUCAGAGGUGAAAUUCUUGGAUUUAUUGAAGACUAACUACUGCGAAAGCAUUCGCCAAGGAUGUUUUCAUUAAUCAGUGAACGAAAGUUAGGGGAUCGAAGACGAUCAGAUACCGUCGUAGUCUUAACCAUAAACUAUGCCGACUAGGGAUCGGACGGUGGUUUUUUUAUGCCCCGUUCGGCACCUUACGAGAAAUCAAAGUUUUGGGCUCGGGGGGGAGUAUGGUCGCAAGGCUGAAACUUAAAGAAAUUGACGGAAGGGCACCACCAGGCGUGGAGCCUGCGGCUUAAUUUGACCCAACACGGGGAAACUCACCAGGUCCAGACAUGCUUAGGAUUGACAGAUUGAUAGCUCUUUCUUGAUUGUAUGGGUGGUGGUGCAUGGCCGUUCUUAGUUGGUGGAGUGAUUUGUCUGCUUAAUUGCGAUAACGAACGAGACCUUGACCUGCUAAAUAGCCAGGUUGACUUUUGUCGGCCGCCGGCUUCUUAGAGGGACUUUUGGCUCAAGCCAAUGGAAGUACGAGGCAACAACAGGUCUGUGAUGCCCUUAGAUGUUCUGGGCCGCACGCGCGCUACACUGACAG
rnacentral:rRNA from 1 species